UAGUACAUAGUCUAUGUAAAACAGAGCUGUAAAAAGAAAUCCUGCAACAACUUUAGCAACUGAAUCAGAUUUUCAAUAUGAGGUUGUGCGUUUUUUGCGUGGUGCAUCAGACCGCAAUGGCGGACAAAAAGUUAAACAAGACCAAAAAACAAACAAGCCAAGAAAAAAGUGAUGCCUUCAUCAAGUUUUCCAAUGCCAUUAAAUAAAGAGACAUUUUUUAGUUCAGAAGAUGAAUAACAUUGUUAAAUAAAAUAAGCAUCUUUAUUUACAAUAACCUCUUGUAUAUGAGAUUGUAGAUGAGAAUUUAAAUCGUGAU